rnacentral:sRNA from 1 species
GUGCGGCCUAAAUUUUUCAGGCAGCGCCCUUUCGAAAAUAACGUUUAAAAACAGGCGCAGCCACGAUUUCCCUGGUGUUGGCGCAGUAUUCGCGCACCCCGGUUAAUCC